GGGAAGGGGAGAGUUUUUGAAGGUUUUUUUUGUUUUUUUUUAUUUAAAAAGACUUAAAAUGAAAAUUUUUGGGGAGAGUUAGUGGCUUAAAUAGCCCUUCAAAAGGGCGUCGUUUUGUGGGUCGACCCGAAUCUGACCCGACCUGGCCUAGGAUUCGCGUGUUUUUGAGCGGAGGAGUAAAUUACGCUUUUAGCCCCUCCACCUUUUUAAUAUUUUUACAAUUAGGUUUUUUUAAUUUUUAAAUUCGCCCUUUAAUUUAU
rnacentral:lncRNA from 1 species